rnacentral:tRNA from 1 species
GGCUUGUUAACUCAGUUGGUAGAGCACUGCACUGGCAUUGCCGAGGUCAUGGGUUCAAAACCCGUACAGGCCU